rnacentral:rRNA from 1 species
UACGUAGGGUGCGAGCGUUAAUCGGAAUUACUGGGCGUAAAGCGUGCGCAGGCGGUUUUGUAAGUUUGUCGUGAAAUCCCCGGGCUCAGCCUGGGAAUGGUGAUGAAGACUGCAAGGCUAGAAUCUGGCAGAGGGGGGUAGAAUUCCACGUGUAGCAGUGAAAUGCGUAGAUAUGCGGAGGAACACCGAUGGCGAAGGCAAUCCCCUGGACCUGUACUGACGCUCAUG